GAUGAACGCUGGCGGCGUGCCUAAUACAUGCAAGUCGAGCGAACGGACGAGAAGCUUGCUUCUCUGAUGUUAGCGGCGGACGGGCGAGUAACACGUGGAUAACCUACCUAUAAGACUGGGAUAACUUCGGGAAACCGGAGCUAAUACCGGAUAAUAUUUUGAACCGCAUGGUUCAAAAGUGAAAGACGGUCUUGCUGUCACUUAUAGAUGGAUCCGCGCUGCAUUAGCUAGUUGGUAAGGUAACGGCUUACCAAGGCAACGAUGCAUAGCCGACCUGAGAGGGUGAUCGGCCACACUGGAACUGAGACACGGUCCAGACUCCUACGGGAGGCAGCAGUAGGGAAUCUUCCGCAAUGGGCGAAAGCCUGACGGAGCAACGCCGCGUGAGUGAUGAAGGUCUUCGGAUCGUAAAACUCUGUUAUUAGGGAAGAACAUAUGUGUAAGUAACUGUGCACAUCUUGACGGUACCUAAUCAGAAAGCCACGGCUAACUACGUG
rnacentral:rRNA from 1 species